UACGUAGGGUGCGAGCGUUGUCCGGAAUUACUGGGCGUAAAGAGCUCGUAGGCGGUUUGUCGCGUUGUUCGUGAAAUCUCACGGCUUAACUGUGAGCGUGCGGGCGAUACGGGCAGACUGGAGUACUGCAGGGGAGACUGGAAUUCCUGGUGUAGCGGUGGAAUGCGCAGAUAUCAGGAGGAACACCAGUGGCGAAGGCGGUUGCCUGGAGCUUUGCUGACGCUGAGGCGCGAAAGCGUGGGGAGCGAUCCGG
rnacentral:rRNA from 1 species